rnacentral:rRNA from 1 species
CUAAGCAGAUUUUUAUAAUUUAUUUUUUUAACCGAAAGGUCUGGAUCUCGAAUUUUAUUGUUUUUGAACUUACUAUUGUUAAGUUAAUUAUUGGAAAAUAGAAUUUUGUGGGGUGAUACGUAAGUCGUCAGGUCUUAUAUUUGUUUAGUUGAUUAUUGAUAUUGUAGUACGUUUGGGGUUAAGAUAUCCUGAAUGAUUCUAUACUAACAUUUGUUGGUGGUUAAAGAUUGUGUUAGAGGUGCUCUUUCUUUGUAAAAUUGUUAUAAAUUUUGUUUAGUGGUAUAGGUUAGUUAGUUUUUGAUAAUCAACUUAUUUAUUGAAUUUUUUGUUUAAAUAUAUUGUUUAAUAAGUAAUUAUAUUAUGGUAGUUAUUUCUCGAGUUUUGCCCGUCUGUUUAUUAAAAACAUUUCCAACUUUAAUUUUUGUUGGUAGUGCCUGCUCAGUGUUUGUAAUAAAUAGCCGCAGUAUCUUGACUGUGCAAAGGUAGCAUAAUUAAUUGCUCUAUAAUUGAGGGCUUGUUUGAAUGGUUUGACGAGGUAAUGGUGAAUAUCUAUUAUUUUUUUGAAAUUGAUUUUGAGGGCACAGAAUCCUCAAAGAUUAAUUAGACGGAAAGACCCCGGGAUCUUGAUAUUUUGCUUGGGGCAAGUGUUAUUACUUUAUUAAUAUUGUGACCCUGUAAAGGUUUAUUGAGCUAAGUUACCCCGGGGAUAACAGGGUAAUAGCUAGUUAGAGGCCUUAUCGAACUAGUUGUUUGCUACCUCGAUGUUGACUUAGAGAUAGUAUUUGGGUGUAGUCGCUUAAAUGUUAGGUCUGUUCGACCUUGA